rnacentral:pre_miRNA from 1 species
AGGCAGUGUAGAAUUAGCUGGCUGCUUUGUUUAAUUCUAGCAGUCGCUACCACACUGCUAU